rnacentral:rRNA from 1 species
AUACGGAGGGUGCGAGCGUUAAUCGGAAUUACUGGGCGUAAAGCGUACGUAGGCGGUUUGCUAAGUCAGAUGUGAAAGCCCCGGGCUUAACCUGGGAACUGCAUUUGAUACUGGCAGACUAGAGUAUGAUAGAGGGGGGUAGAAUUCCUGGUGUAGCGGUGAAAUGCGUAGAUAUCAGGAGGAGUACCAGUGGCGAAGGCGGCCCCCUGGAUCAAUACUGACGCUGAGGUACGAAAGCGUGGGGAGCGAACAGGAUUAGAAACCCUAGUAGUCC